UACAGAGGUCUCAAGCGUUGUUCGGAUUCAUUGGGCGUAAAGCGCACGUAGGCGGAUCGUUAAGUCAGGGGUGAAAUCCUGGAGCUCAACUCCAGAACUGCCUUUGAUACUGGCGACCUUGAGUUCGGGAGAGGUGAGUGGAACUGCGAGUGUAGAGGUGAAAUUCGUAGAUAUUCGCAAGAACACCAGUGGCGAAGGCGGCUCACUGGCCCGAUACUGACGCUGAGGUGCGAAAGCGUGGGGAGCAAACAGG
rnacentral:rRNA from 1 species